rnacentral:lncRNA from 1 species
UUUUUUUUUUUUUUUUUUGGUCUUUUGAGGGCUAAACCCACAGCACAUGGAAGUUCCCAGGCUAAGGGUCACAUCAGAGCUAUAGCUGCUGGCCUAUACCAUAGCCAUAGCAACCCCAGAUAUGAGCCUCAUCUGAGACCUACACCACAGCUUGUUGCAAGGCGGGACUCUUAACCCACUGAGGCCAGUGAUCGAACCUGCAUCCUCACGGACACUACGUCAGGUUCUUAACCUGCUGAGCCACAACGGGAACUCCAUCAAAUGGUUCAUUUUAUAUGAUGUGAAUUUCACCUUGAUUCAAAAUAAAUAAUACAAAAGUGGUUCUGUUGAGUGGACUCCACUCCAGUCCAGCUUACUGACCUUCUGAAAGCCGCAUCCACCUCUCAGCUGACUAAGGGUCCCUGACCCCAGGCCUAGAGCCAUCAGACAUUCAACAAACAUUGCUGGAGGCCCCAGCAAUGGGCCCUGGGCACAAACAAUCAUGCAGCAACAUGAUAGAGAUUUCUGCCCUCGUGGAGGUAACUUGGGAAGAGGAGGGAAAGUCAACAGAUAAAGAUGUGGCGACAUUCAAGGAAGGACUGCAGCUAUGGAUGUGUGGUUUCUGCGGCGGGGACAGUUCAACAGUGGCCUGGAUGGAGUGAGAGAGAGAGAUGUGGAAAUUCUCAGGGAACAAGGUUCCAGGCUGAGGAAACAGAGAGGGCAAAGGCCCUGAGGCCACCCCGCCCUUGGUGAGUCUCAGGAACAGCCAGGCGUCAGCGCGGGCUAGCGGAGAAGGUCGGCCGAUAGGGCCUCGUGUUCCACAAACAGAUCCUCAAGUAUUAAGUGUUAUUAAAAUAAAGUUCAUGGUGUUUCUGGUGUGGCUCAGCAGAGUAAGAACUUGACAUAGCGUCUGAGGAUGGGGGUUCGCACUGGCCUUGCUCAGUGUGUUAAGGAUCCAGCAUUGUGGUGUAGGUUGCAGAUGCAGCUCAGAUCCAGUGUUGCUGUGGCUGCGGUGUAGGCCAGCAGCUACAGCUCCGAUUCGACCCCUAGCCUGGGAACCUCCAUAUGCCAUGGGGAGUUCCUGUUGUGGCGCAGUGGUUAACGAAUCCGACUAGGAACCAUGAGGUUGAGGGUUCGAUCCCUGGCCUUGCUCGGUGGGUUAGCGAUUCGGUGUUGCUGUGAGCUGUGGUGUAGGUUGCAGACACAGUUCGGAUCCUGUGCUGCUGUGGCUGUGGCUGUGGCCGGCAGCUACAGCUCCGAUUGGACCCCUAGCCUGGGAUCCUCCACAUGCCGUGGGAGCGGCCCAAGAAAUGGCAAAAAAAAAAAAGAAAAAGAAAAGUGAGGUGACUUGCCCCAGGGCGCACAGCUAGAAGUGCCAAAGCCAAAAGCUGAACCCAGGGAGUGUGGCGCCCAAGCCUAUGUCACUAACCACUAGGCUUUCCUGUCUCUCAAGACACACUGAGCUCCUCUGGGGGGUUCUGGGAGAAAUUCUGUGGCCUCAGGCCUCCACUUCCGUAAAUGGCAUCUCCAGAGGCAUUCAACGUGACUUCCCAAGGCUUGGGACCUUCUGUGACAUUCCAUGGACCGGUCUGCCCAGAUCACGAAGGGCAAAAUAUUUUGAGAUGAAAGUCACAGAACAGAGGCCACAAAAUGAUGACAGCCAGCUGCGGCCAACCGGGAAGCUCCUUCUGGCACACACAAUGUGGUUUUGUGUUUUUUUUUUUAAUUAGGACAUUGCUUAUAAAAUCCAGAUUUCUAGCUUCUCUUGGAAAAAAAAAAAAAUCAGAAUAUCCAGCAUGCCAGUUAGCCACAAUUCCC